AUUGAACGCUGGCGGCAGGCCUAACACAUGCAAGUCGAGCGGAUGAAGGGAGCUUGCUCCUGGAUUCAGCGGCGGACGGGUGAGUAAUGCCUAGGAAUCUGCCUGGUAGUGGGGGAUAGCGUCCGGAAACGGGCGCUAAUACCGCAUACGUCCUGAGGGAGAAAGUGGGGGAUCUUCGGACCUCACGCUAUCAGAUGAGCCUAGGUCGGAUUAGCUAGUUGGUGGGGUAAAGGCCUACCAAGGCGACGAUCCGUAACUGGUCUGAGAGGAUGAUCAGUCACACUGGAACUGAGACACGGUCCAGACUCCUACGGGAGGCAGCAGUGGGGAAUAUUGGACAAUGGGCGAAAGCCUGAUCCAGCCAUGCCGCGUGUGUGAAGAAGGUCUUCGGAUUGUAAAGCACUUUAAGUUGGGAGGAAGGGCAGCAAGUUAAUACCUUGCUGUUUUGACGUUACCAACAGAAUAAGCACCGGCUAACUUCGUG
rnacentral:rRNA from 1 species